UUCGACCGGCUCAACAAGGAGAUUGAGGUUCUGAAGACGUUCACCCAACAGGAGCUGGUCUCCUGGUUCCUGGAGCACAGAAACAACAGCAGCAGGAAGCUCAGCGUGCAUGUGGUCGGCUUCGGCGUGGAGGAAGGUGAUCAGAGCACCGCCUGCAGCCCAGAUUCUGCUACCUCGUCCUCGGCCUACGGUGAAGUGAGCGAGCUGACAUUUGUGCCGAUCUCGUCGCCAUCUCUUCAGGACACCACGCUCAUCACCGACAUCAGAGCUUUCACCUCCUCCCUCCCCCUCAACCCCUACCACAAAAUCAUCAACUAGGCUCCACCCUAUAAAAGUGAAACGCCUACUGAUUGGUCAUGUUUCUGCUGUGUCCUUUUCCUCUCUGUGAUUGGUUACAACAGUGCUACAUUCACUUCUUGUGGGAACUAAUAUGCUCUGAGAAUCAGAUUUCAGGUCAGUUUUGGACAAAGAGUCCAGAAAAACUACAAUCAUGGCACCUUCAUGGGUCCGAUGAAAUUCCCCUCCUUGUAGCUUUCAACUGUGAAAUAAUGAUUUUUUUCCCACAAGACAUGAAUGCAGCGUGAUGACUCAGGGCUGUGGUAUCAAUAAAGUCAUUAUUUUACUUGUAAACACACACGUGUUCUUCCUGUUAUGCUCACUCCAUGCUUCAGUUUGUCCUUCAGUAAUAAAACAUUUAAAGACAUUU